rnacentral:rRNA from 1 species
UACGAAGGGGGCGAGCGUUGAUCGGAAUUACUGGGCGUAAAGCGCAUGUAGGUGGCCAGGUAAGUCGGGUGUGAAAGCCCAGAGCUCAACUUUGGAAUUGCCUUCGAUACUGGAUUGCUGGAGUACGGAAGAGGAGGGUGGAAUUUCGGGUGUAGAGGUGAAAUUCGUAGAUAUCCGCAGGAACACCAGUGGCGAAGGCGACUCGCUGGACCAUUGCUGACGCUGAGAUGCGAAAGCGUGGGGAGCAAACAGG